rnacentral:rRNA from 1 species
CCGACUGCUAUCGGAUUGAGAUUUAGCCAUGCGAGUCGAACGUCUCCCUGUUGCGGGAGGCGUGGCGUACGGCUCAGUAACACGUAGUCAACCUGCCCUAGAGACGUGGACAACCCCGGGAAACUGGGAUUAAUUCCAUGAUAGGCCACCUCAUCUGGAAGGAGAGAUGACUUAAAGGGGUGCGCGAGCUUCUUUCGUGCAUCUGCUCUAGGAUGGGACUGCGGCCGAUCAGGCUGUUGGUGGGGUAAUGGCCCACCAAACCUGUAACCGGUACGGGCCUUGAGAGAGGGGGCCCGGAGAUGGACACUGAGAGAAGGGUCCAGGUCCUACGGGGCGCAGCAGGCGCGAAACCUUCGCAAUGCGCGAAAGCGUGACGAGGUUAAUCCGAGUGGUCCCCGCUGAGGGGAUCUUUUGUUGGCUCUAAAACGGCCAGUGAAUAAGGGGAGGGCAAGUCUGGUGUCAGCCGCCGCGGUAAUACCAGCUCCUCGAGUGGUCGGGGCGAUUAUUGGGCCUAAAGCAUCCGUAGCCUGUUCCGUAGGUCUUCUGUUAAAUCCAACGGCUUAACCGUUGGCCUGCAGGAGAUACCGCGGGACUAGGAGGCGGGAGAGGUGGACAGUACUCCACGUGUAGGGGUAAAAUCCUUUGAUCCGUGGAAGACCACCAGUGGCGAAGGCGGUCCACCAGAACGCGCUCGACGGUGAGGGAUGAAAGCUGGGGGAGCGAACCGGAUUAGAUACCCGGGUAGUCCCAGCCGUAAACGAUGCGAGCUAGAUGAUCCAAUCGCAAAUCGCGAUUGGAGUGUCGCAGGGAAGCCGUUAAGCUCGCCGCCUGGGGAGUACGGUCGCAAGACUGAAACUUAAAGGAAUUGGCGGGGGAGCACCACAAGGGGUGAAGCCUGCGGUUCAAUUGGAGUCAACGCCAGGAAACUUACCAGGAGAGACAGCAGGUUGAGGGUCAAGCUGAAGACUUUACCUGACGAGCUGAGAGGAGGUGCAUGGCCGUCGCCAGCUCGUGCCGUGAGGCGUCCUGUUAAGUCAGGCAACGAGCGAGACCCCUAUUGGUAAUUGCUAACUGUCCAGAGAUGGAUAGAGGCUAGUUACCGAGACUGCCGCUGCUAAAGCGGAGGAAGGAGGGGGCCACGGCAGGUCAGUAUGCCCCGAAACUCCUGGGCCACACGCGGGCUGCAAUGGUAGGGACAAUUGGUUCCGACUUCGAAAGAAGGAGGCAAUCCGCAAACCCAACCCCAGUUGUGAUUGAGGAUUGAAACCCGUCCUCAUGAAUAUGGAAUCCCUAGUAACCGCGUGUCAUCACCGCGCGGUGAAUACGUCCCUGCUCCUUGCACACACCGCGCGUCGCUUCACCCGAGUUUGGCUUUGACGAGGUCGUCUCCUAUUGGGGCGAUCGAAUCUAAGUUAGGCAAGGGGGGAG